AUUGAACGCUGGCGGCAUGCCUUACACAUGCAAGUCGAACGGCAGCACGGACUUCGGUCUGGUGGCGAGUGGCGAACGGGUGAGUAAUGUAUCGGAACGUACCUUUCAGUGGGGGAUAACGUAGCGAAAGUUACGCUAAUACCGCAUAUUCUGUGAGCAGGAAAGCAGGGGAUCGAAAGACCUUGCGCUGAUUGAGCGGCCGAUAGCAGAUUAGCUAGUUGGUGGGGUAAAGGCCUACCAAGGCGACGAUCUGUAGCGGGUCUGAGAGGAUGAUCCGCCACACUGGAACUGAGACACGGCCCAGACUCCUACGGGAGGCAGCAGUGGGGAAUUUUGGACAAUGGGCGCAAGCCUGAUCCAGCCAUGCCGCGUGAGUGAAGAAGGCCUUCGGGUUGUAAAGCUCUUUCGUACGGGACGAAACCGCAUAGUCUAAUAAAGUGUGUGGAUGACGGUACCGGAAGAAGAAGCACCGGCUAACUACGUG
rnacentral:rRNA from 1 species